rnacentral:rRNA from 1 species
GAUUAUGGCUCAGAACGAACGCUGGCGGCGCGUCUUAAGCAUGCAAGUCGAACGGCAAGAGGUAGCAAUACCUCCUAGAGUGGCGGACUGGUGAGUAACACGUGGGUGACAUACCCUUCAGAUGGGGAUAGCUAUUAGAAAUAGUAGAUAAUACCGAAUACGAGCACAGGGGUUAGAGAUCUGUGAGGAAAGGAGCUAAGGCUCCGCUGAAGGAAUGGCCUGCGGCCCAUUAGCUAGUUGGUGAGGUAAGAGCCCACCAAGGCGAUGAUGGGUAUCCGGCCUUAGAGGGUGAACGGACACAUUGGGACUGAGAUACGGCCCAGACUCCUACGGGAGGCAGCAGCUAAGAAUAUUCCGCAAUGGACGAAAGUCUGACGGAGCGACGCCGCGUGGAUGAAGAAGGCCGGAAGGUUGUAAAAUCCUUUUGAAACUGAAGAAUAAGCGUUGUAGGGAAUGACAGCGUGGUGACAGUAGGUUUUGAAUAGGCAACGGCUAAUUACGUGCCAGCAGCCGC